UAACAGGCUAUGUACCACAGUCUAUUAAGGUAGCUGUAAUUAAACCUCUCCUAAAAAAGCCCACCCUGGAUCCAGAGGUGUUAGCCAACUAUAGACCAAUAUCUAAUCUUCCCUUUAUGUCAAAGAUCCUUGAGAAAGUAGUCGCAGACCAGCUGUGUGAUUUUCUCCAUGAUAAUAAUUUAUUUGAGGAAUUUCAGUCAGGAUUUAGAGUGCAUCAUAGCACUGAGACAGCACUAGUUAAAAUUACAAAUGACCUUCUGAUUGCUUCAGACAAAGGACUUGUCUCUGUACUUGUUUUAUUAGAUCUUAGUGCGGCGUUUGACACAAUUGACCAUCAAAUUCUACUGCAGAGACUGGAUCACUUAAUUGGCCUAAAAGGUUCUGCACUGAGCUGGUUUAAAUCUUAUUUAUCUGAUCGUUUUCAGUUUGUUGAUGUUCAUAAUGAAUCAUCCUUACGUACCAAAGUUUGUUAUGGAGUUCCGCAAGGUUCUGUGCUCGGACCAAUCCUAUUUACUCUAUAUAUGCUUCCUUUAGGUAACAUCAUUAGAAAUCACUCUAUAAAUUUCCAUUGUUAUGCGGA